CCUACGGGUGGCAGCAGUGGGGAAUAUUGCACAAUGGGGGAAACCCUGAUGCAGCAACGCCGCGUGAGUGAAGAAGUCUUUCGGUAUGUAAAGCUCUAUCAGCAGGGAAGAAAAUGACAGUACCUGACUAAGAAGCCCCGGCUAACUACGUGCCAGCAGCCGCGGUAAUACGUAGGGGGCAAGCGUAAUCCGGAUGUACUGGGUGUAAAGGGAGCGUAGACGGCUGGGUAAGUCAGAAGUGAAAGCCCGGGGCUCAACCGCGGGAUUGCUUUUGAAACUGUGUAGCUUGAGUGCAGUGGAGGUAAGAGGAAUUCGUAGUGUAGCGGUGAAAUGCGUAGAUAUUAGGAAGAACACCGGUGGCGAAGGCGGCUUACUAGACUGUAACUGACGUUGAGGCUCGAAAGCGUGGGGAGCAAACAGGAUUAGAUACCCUGGUAGUC
rnacentral:rRNA from 1 species